ensembl:lncRNA
AAAAAACGGUUGUUCCGUGUGGAAACAUUAAAUGAGAAACGCAGCCAUGGAAAAGUCAGAUGUGCACACAUGUACACACGCUGAGCGACAACAACAACAACCACCAAGGCACCGGGGGCUUCGCUAUUGUUGUACCCCAUCCCCCAGCCUGGCAGGAUUCUGCAGCAGCACAGUGGAUGCUCCCAGCACUGGUGCUUCUGGUGGGAUGCAGCCAGGUAAGAGUCUCUGACUCUGAUAGCCAAAGUUAGCUUCCAGGAUAACCUGUGACCUGAUUCUCCCCUGUUGGUUUGUGAUGCAGAAGACACGACAUGCCCACAAAGAGAAAGAAGCCAAACUGGAGGAGGAAGCUGCUAUGCCAGCCUUCAAAAGGGACAGCACCCUCCUGCCCACAGCCACCCACAUUCUUGCCUUUCCAGGGAGCAUGCUUGAGAAUGAAAACAAAAACCUGUUAAAAAGUGAACAACGCUGAAUGCGCAUUUCACUGAAGCCUGGCUUACACCCAACAUAUAGUAUGUCCUUGAUAAAACACCAUCUCCUUUCAGAAAACUCUUGAGGAUGUUGGAAUAUCUAGAAAAGAACAGACUCCGCAGUACUGUCCAGACCUAAUGCUCAAUCAAUGGCUGAUGCUUUACUUUUAGUAGUAGUGAUCAAUGCAUGCCUCAUGACCAGUUUUAAUAUUUCUUCAAGAAUGCGUACACAGUAACAAAUGAGUCAGAAAGGUUUUAGAAUGGAUUUCUUGGAUAGGAAAUAGGAUUUCUCUGAACUGAUUACUGGUUUUACACUUGAGAAUAGUUUUGUAGAAUUUUACCCAACUUUAUGGUAAGCCUCUCCUUUUUUCUCUGUAAACAGCCUUUAACAAAGAUGUGGUGUUGAUUUUCACAGCAGCUCAUGACUAUAUUAAUGAGGUUAAUGAGAUGAUAAGAAAGAGCUGUGACAGCAUGUAAAAUGUCUAGCACUCAUCAAGACACUACCAAAGUAGAAUUGCUGAAGUCUCAGCAUGGCUUAGAGAUAUGAUCUCCAAAAUGUUGGGGGUUAAUGUGGAAGAGUCUCAGCUAGUGCAGGGUUCAGAGAAGCAGCUGCAUCACCAGCCUGGAUAGGGGGUGGAAGGAAGGAGCAGGGAGGGGAGGACACUUGGAGAGGGAGGUCCUGUUGUGGGGUGCUGUGUGGGAGUGGCUAGGACCUGAGUCAUAUAGGGGACGAGGUGUGGAAUGUGUACUCUGGGUGCUGCUGGGGCAUUUAACCAGGCUGCCUUGCAAGACACUGUAGUGAGCCAGAGAUGGAGAUGGUCUGCAGAUCCCUCACCUGCACCACCUUCAAGCACACAGCAUUCAACAGGCUAAAGUGAUACUGGCCUUAGGCAUACUCUCUGGAUACCUCAGAUGCAUUUUGCUAGGCCUUUGCUGUAAUCCCGCUCUGUCCUUGUCCAUGCAGAACUGAUCUUGAGCAAUCCUCCAAUGUUUACUUUGCUUUUCAAAGACAAUGGAAAUUUACUCCAAAGCUUUACCUCAUCGCUGCUGGAAUGCUUGUGGGCAGCAGCAUUUCCAGCGCCAUUCUGCUUCUUCCUCUGUCUGACUCCUCCUGUACUAGAGGCAGCUGGCUUUGCAGCAGUGUUACUUUUCUCCCAUUUCACUUGAACCUCUUCCCUCCAGGAAAUCUAAUUCACAUCUUCUUUUGAAUUUGCAUGAAGCAGAACAUUAGUCAUAGAAACCUCCAAUCCUCCAUGCUUAACAAAACUCUCCUUUUCCACGGAGGAAUCAUGUGUCUUCCUGCUUGUCAGACAUGGAUGCUGACACCAGGAGGUUCAUUCUUCUCCUGGCCUGGCUGUUGAGGACACAGAAGCUUGCAUCAUCUGCAAGAGGAAGAUGAUUCUUUAGUGUCAGUUUCUUUAAGACCAUACAGGCAAUGCAAUGUCCUGGCACUCUUUAUAGUAGGCACAACAGCCCACCACACACCAAUACUGAACACAGUUGUAUGGUUUCAUUUACGAAAGAGGUACUUUUGUGCUGUCUAGAGAAAGCAUAUCCUUUUCUACUAAUAUCACCCAUGGUUCACUUUUUGGCUCAUCUUUCUCUAAGGCUAUUAGAAGGGAGGCUCUGAAACUAAUUUGUAUUUUCCCUUGGCUACCAAAUUCUUUGGGUUUAAGCAUGCUGUUUUUCCAAUCUAUGGCUGAAGUGCAUGAGUUUUAAGGUCAUUAAUAGAUAAUUUCAUGAUAAUUUUACAUUUUGCAAUAGCAUGAUGAAUCUGAGGCUAACAUUUGAGAAUGGUGCAUUGGGGGAGCACAGAGAGGGUGCACUCCUCUGAGCUACAGUGAUGGGAAUCACAAUGGAGGAUUGGAUUCAGCUCUGCUAGCUGUGCCUGGAGAUGCUGAAGGAGAGUGGCAAAUUACAGAUGGGUCAGACAUAAGCUAGAAGAAUAAAAAAUCUGCAAUAUGAAAAUAUGGGCUUUUG